rnacentral:rRNA from 1 species
GAUGAACGCUGGCGGCGUGCCUAAUACAUGCAAGUCGAGCGAACAGACGAGGAGCUUGCUCCUCUGACGUUAGCGGCGGACGGGUGAGUAACACGUGGAUAACCUACCUAUAAGACUGGGAUAACUUCGGGAAACCGGAGCUAAUACCGGAUAAUAUAUUGAACCGCAUGGUUCAAUAGUGAAAGACGGUUUUGCUGUCACUUAUAGAUGGAUCCGCGCCGCAUUAGCGAGUUGGUAAGGUAACGGCUUACCAAGGCAACGAUGCGUAGCCGACCUGAGAGGGUGAUCGGCCACACUGGAACUGAGACACGGUCCAGACUCCUACGGGAGGCAGCAGUAGGGAAUCUUCCGAAAUGGGCGAAAGCCUGACGGAGCAACGCCGGGUGAGUGAUGAAGGUCUUCGGAUCGUAAAACUCUGUUAUUAGGGAAGAACAAAUGUGUAAGUAACUAUGCACGUCUUGACGGUACCUAAUCAGAAAGCCACGGCUAACUACGUG